GCAGUUUGGCGGCUUAAAUUGGACAAUUGUCUCGUGACUUUGAAGUUUCUUCGUUUUCAUUAACAAUUAUCAUUUGAAUCCAUUGAUUUUGGUCUUUCUGCGAGUCUAUUGCUUGAUUCUAUCUUAAAAUGAUCCAACUUAAUCUACACAUUUUCAAAUAAGAAAAAUACUUCCUAUUUCUUGACAUGAGGGAUCCACCAAAUAACUACCUUUUUCCUUCCUUUUGUUUCAGUACAAUUGAGGCGAUUUUGGGGUUUGAAAUCUCUCUUUAGAUAAUUCUUUUAAAUCGUGCAACAUGUACAUUACAUUUACAUUAUUUUUGACAUUGUAUCACAUUAUUGAAAAGUUUAAAAAAAAUAGACAAUUUGUUUUCACCUAUCAAAUCUUGCCAACUCGAGUGAUGUCAACGAUGAUGUAUACUUGUGGUGUACAAGAUGACUUUUCCCAACUUUUUCAGGUCUUAGUGACUUCCUUUUUUGAUGAUUGGCCAAAAUAGAUCAUAAGCCAUGCACUUGUGUACUUGAAACAUUAGACUAUUGAUCUGCCAAUUCCAUACUUCCAUCUUGUGUUGGAUUAAGUCCUCGUUAUCAUUUUUCUAUUGGCUUGAGGAUUUCUAAGAAUAGAUCGUUUUCUAGUUUGAUCAUCUUCUUCAUAUUUGACCUUAAUGCACUAAUUUGUGUUGCAUAUGAUUGAAAAAGUAUGUCUUUCAAAUUAGAAUUCUCAAAAGUUUUCUCCACCUUCACUGGGGAGAAAUGAGAUUAGGCUGUCCACACUUAUAUUUGGACCUGAGUAACCUUUAUCACAAAUUUGAACAAGACAUUCAUAAGGCAAUAAUCACAUUUCCAUUGCUUUAAGUCUCUUCACUUCUAUUUUGCCAGUAAAAAAGAACAAGAUUCACAUGAAUCUUGAAUUUGAAGUAUCUUGUUCUCAAGCUAGACGAGUUUAAAUGCACCAUUCGAUGUUUCAAAUUACAAAAGAUUCAGAUAGUAUUACGCUCAGAACCAAAUGAUAAUCACAUCCCAUCCCAUCCAAACAACCAUUUUACUACCAGUUU
rnacentral:lncRNA from 1 species